AGCGUUCUAAGGGCGUUGAAGCAUGAUCGUAAGGACAUGUGGAGCGCUUAGAAGUGAGAAUGCCGGUGUGAGUAGCGAAAGACGGGUGAGAAUCCUGUCCACCGAUUGACUAAGGUUUCCAGAGGAAGGCUCGUCCGCUCUGGGUUAGUCGGGUCCUAAGCUGAGGCCGACAGGCGUAGGCGAUGGAUAACAGGUUGAUAUUCCUGUACCACCUAUAAUCGUUUUAAUCGAUGGGGGGACGCAGUAGGAUAGGCGAAGCGUGCGAUUGGAUUGCACGUCUAAGCAGUAAGGCUGAGUAUUAGGCAAAUCCGGUACUCGUUAAGGCUGAGCUGUGAUGGGGAGAAGACAUUGAGUCUUCGAGUCGUUGAUUUCACACUGCCGAGAAAAGCCUCUAGAUAGAAAAUAGGUGCCCGUACCGCAAACCGACACAGGUAGUCAAGAUGAGAAUUCUAAGGUGAGCGAGCGAACUCUCGUUAAGGAACUCGGCAAAAUGACCCCGUAACUUCGGGAGAAGGGGUGCUCUUUAGGGUUAACGCCCAGAAGAGCCGCAGUGAAUAGGCCCAAGCGACUGUUUAUCAAAAACACAGGUCUCUGCUAAACCGUAAGGUGAUGUAUAGGGGCUGACGCCUGCCCGGUGCUGGAAGGUUAAGAGGAGUGGUUAGCUUCUGCGAAGCUACGAAUCGAAGCCCCAGUAAACGGCGGCCGUAACUAUAACGGUCCUAAGGUAGCGAAAUUCCUUGUCGGGUAAGUUCCGACCCGCACGAAAGGCGUAACGAUUUGGGCACUGUCUCAACGAGAGACUCGGUGAAAUCAUAGUACCUGUGAAGAUGCAGGUUACCCGCGACAGGACGGAAAGACCCCGUGGAGCUUUACUGUAGCCUGAUAUUGAAAUUCGGCACAGCUUGUACAGGAUAGGUAGGAGCCUUUGAAACGUGAGCGCUAGCUUACGUGGAGGCGCUGGUGGGAUACUACCCUAGCUGUGUUGGCUUUCUAACCCGCACCACUUAUCGUGGUGGGAGACAGUGUCAAGCGGGCAGUUUGACUGGGGCGGUCGCCUCCUAAAAGGUAACGGAGGCGCUCAAAGGUUCCCUCAGAAUGGUUGGAAAUCAUUCAUAGAGUGUAAAGGCAUAAGGGAGCUUGACUGCGAGACCUACAAGUCGAGCAGGGUCGAAAGACGGACUUAGUGAUCCGGUGGUUCCGCAUGGAAGGGCCAUCGCUCAACGGAUAAAAGCUACCCCGGGGAUAACAGGCUUAUCUCCCCCAAGAGUUCACAUCGACGGGGAGGUUUGGCACCUCGAUGUCGGCUCAUCGCAUCCUGGGGCUGUAGUCGGUCCCAAGGGUUGGGCUGUUCGCCCAUUAAAGCGGUACGCGAGCUGGGUUCAGAACGUCGUGAGACAGUUCGGUCCCUAUCCGUCGUGGGCGUAGGAAAUUUGAGAGGAGCUGUCCUUAGUACGAGAGGACCGGGAUGGACAUACCUCUGGUGUACCAGUUGUCGUGCCAACGGCAUAGCUGGGUAGCUAUGUGUGGACGGGAUAAGUGCUGAAAGCAUCUAAGCAUGAAGCCCCCCUCAAGAUGAGAUUUCCCAACUUCGGUUAUAAGAUCCCUCAAAGAUGAUGAGGUUAAUAGGUUCGAGGUGGAAGCAUGGUGACAUGUGGAGCUGACGAAUACUAAUCGAUCGAAGACUUAAUCAA
rnacentral:rRNA from 1 species